CCCCCCCCCAAACCAAAGUGUGACGGGGUUACCCAAAGUGUCCUAUAAAGGACUGUGGUAGGGAGUAAUGUUCCCCCCUUUAAAGGAGAGGGCAAGGGUGGCGCCCGCCGCCGCGGUCCAACCAGCUCUUCAAGUGGUCGGGAUAAUUAUUGGGCUUAAAGUGUCCGUAGCCGGUUUAGUAAGUUCCUGGUAAAAUCGGGUAGCUUAACUAUCCGUAUGCUAGGAAUACUGCUAUACUAGAGGGCGGGAGAGGUCUGAGGUACUACAGGGGUAGGGGUGAAAUCUUAUAAUCCUUGUAGGACCACCAGUGGCGAAGGCGUCAGACUGGAACGCGCCUGACGGUGAGGGACGAAAGCCAGGGGAGCGAACCGGAUUAGAUACCCGGGUAGUCCUGGCCGUAAACGAUGCAUACUAGGUGAUGGCACGGCCAUGAGCCAUGUCAGUGCCGUAGGGAAACCGUUAAGUGUGCCGCCUGGGAAGUACGGUCGCAAGGCUAAAACUUAAAGGAAUUGGCGGGGGG
rnacentral:rRNA from 1 species